AUUGAACGCUAGCGGGAUGCUUUACACAUGCAAGUCGAACGAGUGGCGGACGGGUGAGUAAUAUAUCGGAACGUGCCCAGUAGCGGGGGAUAACUACUCGAAACUGUGGCUAAUACCGCCUACUAUUGGAGCGGCCGAUAUCGGAUUAGCUAGUUGGUGGGGUAAUGGCUCACCAAGGCAACGAUCCGUAGCUGGUUUGAGAGGACGACCAGCAACAGUGGGACUGAGACACGGCCCAGACUCCUACGGGAGGCAGCAGUGGGGAAUUUUGGACAAUGGGGGAAACCCUGAGCCAGCCAUCCCGCGUGUAUGAGAAGGCCUUCGGGUUGUAAAGUACUUUCAGUCGGGAGGCGUUACCGACAGAAGAAGCACCGGCUAACUCCGUGCCAGCAGCCGCGGUAAUAC
rnacentral:rRNA from 1 species